GAUGAACGCUGGCGGCAUGCCUAAGACAUGCAAGUCGAACGAGGUGGCCCAAAGAAGAUUGAGUGCUUGCACAAGAUUGGACUUGGAUUACCACCUAGUGGCGGACGGGUGAGUAACACGUAGGUGACCUACCUUUGAGUUUGGGAUAACUAUUAGAAAUGAUAGCUAAUACCGAAUUAAAUGCAGAUUCGUUUCUGUAUUAAAAGGAGCCUUUAAAGCUUCGCUUAAAGAUGGGCCUGCGGCGUAUUAGCUAGUUGGUGAGGUAAUGGCUUACCAAGGCGACGAUGCGUAGCCGAACUGAGAGGUUGAUCGGCCACAUUGGGACUGAGACACGGCCCAAACUCCUACGGGAGGCAGCAGUGGGGAAUAUUGCGACAAUGGGGGAAACCUCGAUGCAGCGACGCCGCGUGGAGGAAGAAGGU
rnacentral:rRNA from 1 species